AGAAUCUCCAUCACUGGAAAUGUUUCAGUGAGGAUGAGAUGUCUGAAGAUAUAUAUAGCAAGCUAUAUAUUUGGCAAGCUCAGGUGAUAAUUUAGUCAAUUAGGGAAGUCCUAUGGCCUGCACGACUAAUGAGUCAGAAGAAAUGGCUCACAAAAGCAUUUCUUCUGGCUGUGUAAUCUGCAUCCUUGUAGUGGGUUUAUGUGGCAAGGUUUUGGUAGCAGGGAGCCAUAGGGGUGGUUUCUGUGAGAAAGAUCUAGAAGCUGCCCCAUAUUUGGGAAGGGCCCCAUUGUUUUCCAGAACUGAGCCAAUAAGCGAUGUUGUUUUGCGCCUCUGUGAGAGCAUAUUUAAGACGGGAAAAAAAACGCUGCGCCACACAGCAGCUGGGAGAGUGAAAGGAGUGAGAAACGGCCUUGCAGGUGCCAAGCCCAUGGAGUACCACGGUGGAGCAGGGUUCCACGCUGCAGCCCGUGGAGGAGACCACGGUGGAGCAGGUGGCCCUGCACCGAUGGAGGCUGCCGCCUGUGGAAGACCCCUGCCGGAGCAGAUUCCAGGCCGGACCUGUAGCCUGUGGAGAGGAGCCCACGCAGGAGCAGGUGACCUGGCAGGAGCUGCUGCCUGUGGGGGAGCCAGGUUGGAGCAGUUUUCUCCUGAGGGAUGGACCCCGUGGUACGGACCCAUAUCUGGAGCAGUUCUGGAAGAGCUGCUGCCUGUGGGAAGCCCACACCGGAUCAGUUCAUCAAGGACUGCAUCCCGUGGGUGGGACCCCACAGCACAGGGGACGAGAGUGAUCGAGAAGGAGCGGCAGAGAAGUGCUGUAGACUGACCAUAACCCCCAUUCCCCCGUUCCCCUGCGCCGCUCGGGGGGAGGAGGUGGAAGAGGGUGGAUGGGGGGGAAGGUGCUUUUGGUUUCUUUCCUUUGUUUCUCACUUCUCUCGCUUGUUAGUAAUAGGCAAUAAAUCUUACUAUCUUUUUAUGCUGAGUCUGUUUUGCCCGUUACAAUAAUUAUUGCGUGAUUUUCUCAUCCUUAUCUCAACCUCUUAAGCCCUUUUCACAUAUUUUCUCCCCAUUCCUCUUUGAGGAGGGGGAGUGAGAGAGCGGCUGUGGUGGAGCUCGGAUGCCCACUCGAGCGGAACCACAACAAUC
rnacentral:lncRNA from 1 species